rnacentral:lncRNA from 1 species
UAGUUUGUAACCAGAGUAUGUACACCAGUACCUAUAAAUAGAACCUGUUGUUCUUAUCUAUUAUCUAAUAUCUCAGACUAGAUCUUGUGCUCUAGGAGUUUUGGAUUAAACUCCUGCUACCAUAUUGGCCUAUAAUUGCCUCUAGAGCGAUAUGUAGGCACAACAGGGUGAAGUAGUUCCUUCAACACUAGUGUUGUACACUUUGUAGCAGCAAGGUGAGUUGUUCCUCCACAACCCUAUGCUGCUUCAGAGCCCAAGAUAACUGAGAGUGAAAGAGAGCUGCUUAUAGUAUUAAAAACGCAAAAGGGGAAAUAUACUAAAAUGCACAAUGUUUACAUGAUUGACUUGUCACAUUAGAAGCAACACCAUGAAUGUCAGAUGAAGUUACUUACUUUUCAAAAGUUGUAUAGCACAAGAAAAUAGUGACCAAGUAAAAAAAGUGUGCUCAUAAAUAUAUGAUAUAUGUAUAUACAAAUAGAAUAGACAUGCAUCAAAGAUUUUCUGUAAUAGUGUUUUGAAUUGCUUGAUCCUGAUAUUAAUAGAGAAUGUGACAACAUGAACAUACUACUAUUUUUUAUCAACAUCUGACACUGACAGUUAUCACUCUUGAAUUAGCAGAGGUACCUCUAAUCACUAAAGGAAGUACUAAUCAAAUUAUCAUCCCCUGAAAUAAGUCUGCAGUUUAUACAAAUAGAAAAAGAAUUCUGCCGCUAUUUAUUGACGCGAGACUUCAACAACCCAAGGUCAAGUAUUAGCAGCACUUACAAGCACAGGAACCUGUUGCUACCACUGUAGUCAUGGAAUAGGUACAGUAGUGAAUUUUAAAUACACUGAAUAGAUCCAAACUUGGAACGACUUGUGCUAACAAGAUCAGAUAAAACUAAAUUAUAUCUGGGGGCUGGGUACUUACGGAGACAGGGCUCAGAAUUUUCAGUGUUGCACAGUAAGAUGUACGACAUAUAUUUAUUUUCAGUGUUGUACAGUAAGAUGUACGACAUACAUUUUGGAUUACCAUUUAAUUUUGUACUGUAACUUAUGUGUUAUCAGGCAGGCUAUUUUCCAUCCUGAUUAGUUAUAUAGCUAAGAGUGCAAAGUCUACCUUUCACUUCCUUGAAAUACUUUCCAGCAUAUUCUCACUGCAAAUACAACUAACAUUUUUGUAGUUGUACGAUCGUAUCCUGUAAGAACUUGGACCUUUAAAAACAUUAGAAGGUGCUCCAGUAGAGAUUUCAGGGACAGGAGUGUACCUUUUUAAUGACUUGACUUGAUCUAGAUGGUUUACAUCAUCGCAUGCAUCUCCUUUUGCAUUGGCCACAUUGCCAUGCAGACUGGUUGACGGGUCAAUGGUCAGGUACUGCAAGGGGUUGCUAGGGACAUUCUCCAGGACAGCAUUUACAAUGGAACUCUCUGAACUGGUCAGCCUACACUUCUGUCUUGGCGAAUUUGGACCAUACACACAGCUAACUUCGACCCCCGAAUCACUUUCACCCCUUACAGCAGCAUCCAACGAGUCCCCGGUCUCACCUGCUGGUUGCAGAUCCCCCUCCUCAAUCGGAAAAAUUGGGCUCUGAAUUGUCCUCAGUGCAUCCAAGAUAGCAUCAGAGUCGCUACAAGCUCUCCUAAGAAGUGGAAGGUUUGGCAUUUUCCCAGAAUCUGCAAGGAGAUCAUCUAGCCAACAGGGUGGUUCACCAAAGAAAGGAUCCUCUGAUGGAAACCUGCAGCUCUGUGUGAACAAGCUGUCAUCUCUUC